rnacentral:lncRNA from 1 species
GCACAUUACACAAUAACAAGGGCGAGUUGUGGGAUCCUCCCUGUGCCAAGUGGAAGAAGCCAAGUGAAGGGCUAUGGGGACCUAGAAGAUGGAGUCGUCACACAGUGGAAGAAUUGCAGAUCUCUGAGUCACCAUUUGGACAAGAACCUACUAGAACAGGUGCCUGAACAAGAACACUGGACUUUGUACAGGACCUGGACUAGCUUAGACGAAUGAGGCACUUGCCUCUGGCACAAAAGGG